UACAGAGGUCUCAAGCGUUGUUCGGAUUCAUUGGGCGUAAAGGGUGCGUAGGCGGCGCGGUAAGUCGGGUGUGAAAUCUCGGAGCUUAACUCCGAAACUGCAUUCGAUACUGCCGUGCUUGAGGACUGGAGAGGAGACUGGAAUUUACGGUGUAGCAGUGAAAUGCGUAGAUAUCGUAAGGAAGACCAGUGGCGAAGGCGGGGUCUCUGGACAGUUCCUGACGCUGAGGCACGAAGGCCAGGGGAGCAAACGGG
rnacentral:rRNA from 1 species